ACCGGAUUAGAUACCCGGGUAGUCCCAGCCGUAAACAAUGCAGGCUAGGUGUUAGCGCGGCCACUGCCGGCUCUAGUGCCGCAGGGAAGCUGUUAAGCCUGCCGCCUGGGGAGUACGGCCGCAAGGCUGAAACUUAAAGGAAUUGGCGGGGGAGCACCACAAGGGGUGAAGCUUGCGGUUUAAUUGGAGUCAACGCCGGAAAUCUCACCGGGGGCGACAGCAGAAUGAAAGCCAGAUUAAAGGUCUUGCCAGACGAGCUGAGAGGAGGUGCAUGGCCGUCGCCAGUUCGUGCCGUGAGGUGUCCUGUUAAGUCAGGCAACGAUCGAGACCCGCGUCCCCCGUUGCUAGUGCGCGAAUAGCCAAGCACACUGGGGAGACUGCCGCCGAUAAGGCGGAGGAAGGAGCGGGCCACGGCAGGUCAGUAUGCCCCGAAUCUCCCGGGCCACACGCGAGCUGCAAUGGCAGGUACAAUGGGUUCCAACCUCGAAAGAGGAAGGAAAUCCCUAAAACCUGCCGUAGUUGGGAUCGAGGGUUGAAACUCACCCUCGUG
rnacentral:rRNA from 1 species